UUUCACUUGGUUCUGACUGUAAAUGAUACAUUUACAGUUAAACACUGUUAGGCUAAUAUUGGCAGUUUGCAAGAGGAUAGGCAUUUGAUGGCGGGAGGAGGAGAGCGAACCCAGCAUUCAUCCACUCAAUAAAGAGAUCGAAUCAACCUUGAAGUGAGGUGAGGAGAGAAAGCUGCAAAAACAACAUUUUGAUGCUUCCUGGGGAUCAACCCAACGUCUGGCACAAAGGCCACAAAGUGGAUCAGUCCAAGAAGUGGGAAGGUGCAAGAGAAGUGGAACAGCAAUGUCAACCUUCAUGUCUCUGCACUUCUAAAAAGG